CAAGCUGACUUCUCAAGCUCUGGGGAUGCCUCAGUGAUCUCUGAUGUGGAAUUAGUGGAGGCUGGCCGUUGCUCACCUCUACACAGCCUGCUGGUCGUUAGCGAGCAGGAGUUCUGAUGUUCCUCUCAUCUUGGAUGUCUUUCCUAGGAGAAUAUUUCUCACGUGUUUGACAGAAAACAUUAUCUGUCCAUCAUUUCCAUGGAUUCCUGGGUCUCACGGGCAGAAGGACAAGGCAGAUAUGAGGCGGAUCUGGUAAAACCAUAAACACCAUGAGAUCAGAGCAUCCAUCUGUAGACUCACAGAGCAAGAAGCGUGACUGCCCCAAUCUUGAAUGGAUGAGUAAG